AACGCACCUUGCGCUCUCUGGUAUUCCGGAGAGCAUGCCUGUUUGAGUGUCAUGAACUCUUCAACCCACCGGUUUCUUGUUAAAUCGGAUGGUGUUUGGAUUUUGAGUGUUGCUGGUCUUCGGACGUAGCUCAUUCGUAAUACAUUAGCAUCUCAAUUUCGAACUUCGGAUUGACUCAGCGUGAUAGACUAUUCGCUGAGGACACCUUUGGGUGGCCGAAUGAGAAGACAGUAGAAGCUCCUAAACAGAUCUUAGUCAAUUUAAAUUUAGACCUCAGAUCAGGCAGGAUUACCCGCUGAACUUAA
rnacentral:misc_RNA from 1 species